AAAGAGUAAGAAACUUUAGUGUGUGUACCUUUUGUAUCAGGGGAAGUUAAAAGUGCAAGUAAUAAAGGAUCGAUUUAAGCAGAGCUUCGUAUAAAAUAGCUAUAGUUAAAUUUAUAGCUUUAAUAGAUUAUGUGGUGAAAAAUGUACGGUGCUUAUGGUAGCUAUUUGUUUUUUUAUUGAAGGGUAAGCUUUCAUUGACUUAAUUGUGGUAUUUUGACUGUGCUAAGGUAGCAUAAUCAUUUGCUACUUAAUUGGUAGCUGGAAUGAAAGGUUAAACUAGCUUAUUCAGUUUGUUGUGUUUUGUAAGAAAUUAAAGUCGAGGUAAGAAUUCUUUGAUCUGCUAGGGGACGAUAAGACCCUAGAAGCUUAACAAUAAGAGUAUUUAUUAGUUAUAAAAAUUAAUUUGUUUUACUGGGGCGGUAGAGGUAUAUGAACUAUUAGCGUAUUGAUAGAUCCUUAAAAUAAAGAUAAAACGGGAAAGUUACUCUAGGGGUAACAGUGCAAUAUUUUUGGAGAGAUCAUAUCGAUAAAAAUGUUUGCAACCUCGAUGUUGAAUUAAGAUGUCUACGUGAAGCAGCAGGUACGUGAGAGGGUUUGUUCAAC
rnacentral:rRNA from 1 species